AUUGAACGCUGGCGGCAGGCCUAACACAUGCAAGUCGAACGAGUGGCGGACGGGUGAGUAAUGUCUGGGAAACUGCCUGAUGGAGGGGGAUAACUACUGGAAACGGUAGCUAAUACCGCAUACCAUCGGAUGUGCCCAGAUGGGAUUAGCUAGUGGGGGGGGUAACGGCUCACCUGGGCGACGAUCCCUAGCUGGUCUGAGAGGAGGACCAGCCAAACGGGAAAGAGGAAACGGGCAAGACUGCUACGGGAGGCAGCAGUGGGGAAUAUUGCACAAGGGGCGCAAGCCUGAUGGAGACAUGCCGAGUGUAUGAAGAAGGCCGUCGGGUUGUAAAGUACUUUCAGCGGGGAGGCGUUACCCGCAGAAGAAGCACCGGCUAACUCCGUGCCAGCCGCCGCGGUAAUUC
rnacentral:rRNA from 1 species